GACAAAAAGACAAAAAAAUUAAAUUAACAAAAUUCUCAUUUACAGGCUACAGAAGCCGACCCUGGAUGACUUAAAUAAAAAAAGAAGAGUGAAUUGAAUGAAUGCGUCAAUUCACAGUCAUGAUGGCAAAACCGAAGAACAGGUUGAGAGGAUGGUCGGAGCCAUGGGAGAGAAAGGCGGUCAGAAUCACAACACAAAUCAGACCACAGUGCAGCCUGAGACAUCAGAAAGAAUCUCUACUGCUCUUGCUUCUCUGUCGCCGCCUCCAGAGUCAAAGCCCCAGGGGAAACAGCCAACUGGCCCCAGUUCCCAUGAAGUGAGGAGGAGCUGGUGUCUGAGCUGAGUCCUAACCGGUCGAGAGGUUUUUCCAUCAGACCUGUCUGUGCUUUUCAAACCGUGCUCUUAAAGUCCCACAUUUUCAAGAUGAAGCUGUGGGGUCUUCCAUGAAGCCGGGAAGAAGAAGUUGAGCAGGUGGGCCAUCGUUCAUGUAUAUCUUGAAUUUCCUUAUAAGAAAUGUUCUCAAAGACGGGAACUCCCACACACACAGGUGCUGGACUCAAACAGGUCUAAAUUUCAGCUCUGCACUGACUAAGUAAGUAUAUGGGCAAGUUGUAUAAUCUCUAUGGAUCUAUUUUCUCAUCAGUUAGAAUGAAGAUGGUAAUAAGAGCUUCAGAGAACUAUUUCAUAGAACAUCAAAGCAUAGUGAGGAGCUGGUGAGAUAAGAUAUGUGGAAAGUAUGUGGCACAUAGUGGGAGCUUAGCAAAAGUUUCUUUUCAAACUUUUCUCCUUCCUUCCUUCCUUCCCUCCUUCCUCUUUCCCUCUCUUCUAACCCCACUUUGAGGGCAGCUGGUGCUGAUCUGGAUGUGAACAGAGGAUGGUCCACAUUGUGGAAGUUUUUGUCCUUCUACGUCAUUGUGCCUGCCCUUGAACCCAGAGAAGGAGUGAUGGCUCAUAAGAAGAUGCCAGCAGGAGUGGGAGUACUCCUUGAGAGAGGUGCCCUCACUUUCCCCAGUGGAUGAACCUGGGAUGACUUUGGCUGCCACCUGAGGACCUGUAAUCCUGGGACCAUGGAAUGCAGGCUCUCACAUCAAGCCUGAAGUUGGGAAUCAGAAGCAAUGCUCCUCUUUCUUGUUCUCUGCAGAGCAGACUCAUGGCUCACACCAUCCUAAGUGUGAAGUGGGGAUCUGUAUCUAGUGUAGUCAGAAGCUUUUAGCGACAGGUUCAAGGCACAGGACUCAAAUUGGUUUAAGCAUAGAGAAAGCUCCACAACCUCAAAUCUGAAUGGCUUCAGAAUCUGUCUCUCCAUCUCUGCUCUACUUUUGCAGGUGUUCCUAGCAUGGCAAGGUAGUAACUAACAGUUCCAGGAUUAUUUUCUACCAGGUUAAUAACCACAGCAAAAAGACAGCACCCCUUUCCUACGGGAGCCAGCAAGAUUUCCAGAACUGUGUCUGUCAGUCUGGUUGAGUCAUCCAUCCAUCCCUGAACCCAUCAUUAUGGGCAGUCAUCUGAUUGGCCAGGCCUCCUCCGGGAAGGGGAGGUGGAUCGAGGAGGAGGAAGAAAUGGUCCCAAAGAUAAAUCUGGGGGCUGGCAUCAAAAGAAGGAAUCAAAGUAAGCAAAAACAAUAGGCAUUUACUCUAGGCUCAGUACUUUUAUGCCUUUUAAAUUAAAAUAUCAAGACUUUACAAGGAAAGGCCAUGUUACAACCUGGGAAAUAGGUAUAAGGUCUUCUCAGGCUCAGGGGAAAUCUAAUGAUUAACUAGUUUGCUUCUCAGUAAUAAAAAGAAUAAAUUGAAGGUAAGUUUUUUACUUCACCAGUGCAGUUAUUAAGUUCUAGGGAUAUAACUUGUUUCCAUCCCAAUGCAAACAAGUCAUUUAAUUGGCAAUCAUUGAAAAAUGCCAUGAAGUUGCGUGUGAUGGCUAGUUUUACGUGUCAGCUUGGCUAGAUUGUAGUUCCUAUAGUCAAUCAAACUUCAAUGUAUAUGUAAAUAUAUAUGUAUUAUUUUUAUGUACAUAUAUCUCAUAUACAUAUACAAAUAUGUAUUUAUACAUAUAUGCAGUGCAAAUAUGUAUAUAUGUAUUUGUAGAUAUAGAUACAUCUUCUACUGGUUCUGUUUCUCUGGUAGAACCCAAUUGAUAGAAUGUCAAAUUACAGUCUAUACUUGAAAAAUGACAUUAACCAUGAUGCCAGUCAAGUCAGUAAGUCAAAGCUGAGGCACAGAAGCCCAUUCUCCUUCAGUGCACAAGUUAUGUCAUUUGAUUGAACCUGUAGUGUAUUAGUCUUAUUGACAUUUUCACAGGAAUGGUACCACUUUUUUGUGGGUCCCUAAAAACCAAAGUGUCACUGUAAUACUGGAAAUAAAUGCUUGAUGAUACUUGAAAUAUAGCGCCUUUCUACUGAGGAAUUUAAAUGACUUCACAGGCAUUAGCUCAUGAAUUUACAUGUGAGGGUAAUGAGGUAGGUGGCAAAUAUGAUCAACCCCACAUUAUAGACUGAAAUUGGGACACAAUGAAUGUGACUUGUUCCAAAGCUCAGUUGAAACUCACUGACAGACUACGGAUAGAAGAAGAAGUCUUGCAGGCUUUGGGCCAGUGUUCAGCCAGUCCAAAGUGUGGUUUCCCUGUCCCCUGCAUGGGAAUCACCAGAGGUGAUUAAAAUGCAACUCUCUGGGCCCUGCCUUCAAUGUUCUAAACCUGAAUUCUGGCAAAUGGAUCAAAGAGUUUGCCAUUUUGGGGAGCGUCUUGGUGGAAGACUGCUCCUUCGGUGUAGUUUUUCACCUCAUGUAGACCUUCCCUGUCUGGCUUCGUGGGUAUAUAAAUUGAAAAAUUUAGGAACUCAACUGUGACUUUCCUGAUUCAAACAGGAAAAAAAAAAUUCUAGUGUAUUUUCUUUUCUAAAAGCAGACAUUUAAAUGCCUCUCAUUAUUUUCAAAGAGCUGUUGAAAGAAAAUUAGGCUAUUUAUGAGUCAUUGAUGGGUAUAUUCUAUCAACAUCCUGAUCUCCGUUUAUUGGUG